rnacentral:rRNA from 1 species
ACUACGGGCGGCAGCAGUGGGGAAUAUUGGGCAAUGGGCGCAAGCCUGACCCAGCAACGCCGCGUGAAGGAAGAAGGCUUUCGGGUUGUAAACUUCUUUUCUCAGGGACGAAGAAAGUGACGGUACCUGAGGAAUAAGCCACGGCUAACUACGUGCUAGCAGCCGCGGUAAUACGUAGGUGGCAAGCGUUAUCCGGAUUUAUUGGGUGUAAAGGGCGUGUAGGCGGGAGCGCAAGUCAGAUGUGAAAACUCAGGGCUCAACCCUGAGCCUGCAUUUGAAACUGUGUUUCUUGAGUGCUGGAGAGGCAAUCGGAAUUCCGUGUGUAGCGGUGAAAUGCGUAGAUAUACGGAGGAACACCAGUGGCGAAGGCGGAUUGCUGGACAGUAACUGACGCUGAGGCGCGAAAGCGUGGGGAGCAAACAGGAUUAGAUACCCCGGUAGUC